UAACUUCAACCGACAUUUUCCUUCUGAGUUGAUCCAUUCUCAGAUCUCAGCCCUAAUUAUCAAAUCUCCAAAACUCAUUUACACCUUCGCAAAUCUCACCGGCGAUUAUUAUUUCCUCUUUAUCUUUGAUCUACUCCAUCGCAAAUCCAAUCUCUGAAAGCCUAACCAGCAUUCAUCUCUCUUUGUAAAUUUCAUUGUGAAUCUCCCUUUCAAUCUUCCUCCAAAGAUCUCGUAAUCUUUCGAUUUUACAUCAAGAUUUCAAUAGCUGUCUACAGAGAGAUGAAAAGAGGGAGGAAGAGAGAGAAAGAAUUCGACCUUCUGCGGCUCGAUGUUCAACCUUCGUUGUUGGCUUUGCGGUAUGGAUUCGAGCCUUAAUCUCUAUUUGUUCUUGGAAGUUUGUUUGGUUUAUGAUGUUUGGGUGAUUUGAUUGAUUUUAGGGUUGAUUGUUCUUCGUUUGAUUUGAUGUAAUUUUGGGUGGUUUUAUUGACUGGAAGACCGAUUCAGGUCAUUUUUUGGUUAAUUUUGUUUUUUGUUUUUGUUUUUUUCAUGUUAUUUAGGUCGAUUUUGUUAAUUUUUCUGGCCAAAUUGGUUUGAGUUUUUGGAAUUUACUCGAUUUCAUUUGUUUUUGGAAUUUUUUUGGCCAAAUUGGUUUGAGUUUUUGGAAUUUACUCGGAUUCCUGGACCUGCCUAAGGGAGAUGAUCAGACCACUGAUCAUGAAGCGGAUGAGAAUGAAGCUGCUUCAUGGUUGCUACUUUAACCCAGGUAAUCAGUUCUGCGAGCCAUCGUAUAACCAGCAGCAGGAAUUCAGUGUCCCUGAGAAGAACUUUGGAGAUGACAGUGUCGUACCAGUUAAGUCUAGGGAACCAAAAGAUCACCAAAUACAGUACCAGAACUCUUCAGUUAUUCAAAGGGGGCACUGGUAUGGGAACUGGCCGGGAUAAAUUGGAAGAAAGGGCCGGUAUUUUAUCAUCUUAGCAUUGGAGGAAGACGGAUUAGGUGAAGUUGUUCCUUCUCCUUCUGGCUCAAGCCUUGCGAUCGCAAAAGAAGGUGAACUCAAAAUAGGAACCAUUGAUGAUAUUCAGAAGCUUCAUAUUCGAUCUAUUCCUCUGGGAGAACAUGCUCGGCGUAUCUGCCACCAGGAACAAACUCGCACUUUUUCCAUUUGUAGUUUGAAGUACAACCAAGCUAGUGCAGAGGAAUCUGAAAUGCAUUUUGUACGCUUGUUGGAUGACCAAACCUUUGAGAUCAUUUCUACUUAUGCACUUAAUACUUAUGAAUGUGGUUGCUCCAUACUGAGUUGCUCAUUCUCAGAUGACAUCAAAGUUUACUACUGUGUUGGAACAACAUAUGUUUUACCUGAGGAAAAUGAGCCAACCAAGGGAAGAAUUCUGGUUUUUGUUGUUGAAGACGGAAAGCUGCAACUCAUUGCUGAGAAAGAAACUAAAGGUGCAGUGUACUCACUUAAUGCCUUCAACGGCAAGCUGCUUGCUGCCAUCAAUCAGAAAAUUCAGCUUUAUAAGUGGAUGCUUCGGGAUGAUGGAACUCACGAGUUACAGUCUGAAUGUGGACACCAUGGGCACAUUCUUAUCAGUUGUAUGUCCAGACUCGUGGUGAUUUCAUUGUUGUUGGGGAUCCGAUGAAAUCAAUUUCUCUACUAAUAUACAAGGCACGGAAUUCAGUAAAAGUAUCUAGACUGCAUCUUUUCUCUGUCUGUAUGUGUUGUUGCUUGUAAUCCAGUCAAGCACUAUUUUUCUGUUUUGUGCUAACCUGAAUCAUUCAGAAAGAUUGAAUUCUGGAGUUUUGGUAGUCGAACCGUAUGUUGGUGUUGCUUGUUUGGGAGCUAUUUUGUUUGGAUAUCACCUUGUGAAGUGGGUUGAACAAGGUCUUUACCUUGUAUAGUUGUGCACAAUGGAGGCUUAUAUGCAUGCUCUCACUUUAUGUAAUUCUGUCUAUAUGUCAAUUAAUAAAACUGCUAAUUAGCUGUUAUGGACCAGAGCUGAAAUUUUGCAGUUCUGCAAUGCUGACAUAAUUAUUAGCAAUGCGAAUUAAAUCAGGCUUUGAUGUACAAGAGCUAUCUGAAGAUGCUCCAGAUGAUCAGGAGGGACUGGAUGCUACAGUAACGCAUGUGGUAAAUUUGCUGUCUACUGAGCCCACUGACAUUCUCUAGGCAUCCAAGACCCAUCUGUGUGACUGGAGAUCUUAUUAAUCAACCUGGAGAAUCGACGGGAAUAUUGCUACUGCUGAAUUCUUGCUGAGAUUAAUCGAUACAAAGUUUAAUCAUCUUUUAGGGGUGUUUAGUGGUGGCAGAUUAACAUGCUAGCUGUUUGGACUUGUAUAGACCAUCCUCGCAUGCAAUAUUCUGGAUUAGAAGUUGAGAAACAUGCCUCUCUAGUCUCUUAGUUAGGUUGAUUGACCUGAAUGGCGGUGGGUCAAAUGUUGUCCGGGAAAACAAAUGACAUUUUGAUACAAUCGCCAUCUCUUGGUAUAGAUAUAGAUUCCUUUUAUUUGCAGGGUUUGAGAAGGUACAUCUGUAUUACUUAUUUAUGUAUUUAUGGAUAUUAUUUAUGGAUGUUAGACCAUAAUUAUGGAGGCUAGUACCGAGUAGUAGUACCAAUGUAUUACUGCAGGAAUUUAUUUUUUUUGUAAAAU